GGGGGCGACAGGUUUCGACAGGAGCGAAAGUCGCUUCUCGGAUGCAUGCCGGGCUUGCUCCAUGCAGCUCGUUAAAAAGCAUGGGGAAAAACAAAUGCCAAUACGCAAGAAUUGGCUCUCGCUGCCUAAUUAAGCGCAAGCGAGCGUCUCGCUCAUGGGUCGCUCACGCCCGUGAGAUGAGAUGUCACCCGAAGUGAGCUAGCCUAUGUCCUAACGUUCGGGGGACAUGGGCGAAAACAGAAUCCGAGCUAGUCGUCAUUGGGGUCUUCGUCGCUUCACUUACCCGAUGGCGAUGAAAUCGGUUCUUCAAAGAACCAAAGAGAAGCGGCUAAGCAUGUAGAGUCCGAAAGUGACCGCUUCUGGACCCGAGUUCGAGUCUCGGCGCCUCCACCA
rnacentral:tmRNA from 2 species